rnacentral:lncRNA from 1 species
AUCCUACACCACGAUAAAUUCUUAGAAUAGUCCCUGGAUUUCACUUAUCAAGAUAUCAACAGAAAAUUGCAUGCACAGUAGUAUUCUGUUUGCUGGCAUCAAAUGCUUUGUAUGAUGCAUCAUCAUCUGAAUGUAUCAAAAGAUUCAUAAGUACAAUACUACAUUCGUAAAACAUACAAGUAAAUGCGCUACAAUGAUCACAAUGCCUUUUUUCUUCCGAUCACAAUACAUUCUAUUCUCCUUGUAUAAUUCUAAUAGAGAAGAAGAAAAACCGAGAAACCUGUCUUAUGACCUGGUAUUUACAUACUGAUGCAACUGUCACAGAGAUAACCUUCACUGAUCAUUUCUUCCCUGAGAUGCUGGAAGCUGGGUAGAUCCUCCUGACAGCCCAGAGGAUGCUGCAGCCAGCCUGCUGCUGCUGCUUCUUCUCCUUGCUCACCUGAUGCUCAUGGCUUCUUGCUGCACUGCCCUUGUGUCCUCUGUGCUGCACUUUCAGAGCACUGGCCACAGCUGCUUCGUACACCAUGCCUGCAGAGAUAAACUGCUGCGUUUUCCCUCUCUUGUCAAGAACAGAGUGUCAGCUUGCUUGAUUGCCUGUUUCAGGUGGC